AACCGAAACGCUCCCACCGCUGGAGCGUCCGCAGGGAACCGCCGCCCUGCGCUGAUGAUGGCAGGCGAGA
rnacentral:hammerhead_ribozyme from 1 species